UCUCUGCAUUCUCUCUCAAGCCUUGGCCGACCAACCCAUCUCGUUCUUUGAAUUUUUUCACAACAAUCCUCACUUAAACUCUCAUCCUCUCAUCUCCUUCCUUCUAUACUCAUAACUCUAAGCCACUCAGUUCUAGUUUGAAGCUAAGGAAGUCUAUACAAGCUAGAUCAUCUAAAGGUAGAGAAAAUGAGUUAAUGUGCUGGAGGUCACACAAGUUCAAUCCAAGGUCUACAAGAGUUACAUUGUUGGCUAACAAGGCGGGAUUCUCCGUGGGAAGAUUGCCCGUGCACAACAAAUGAUAGCUUGUAAGUCAAUCUAUGAUUUAUGUGUCUGCAACAUGAUUUAACUAGUGUAUUGCUUGAUAAAAGUAGGACUUAUACGCUAGUUAGAGAGAGAUGGCUCAUUUGGAGACAGUAACUAGGGGUGCAUUGGUGGUCUGGGUUAUGCCUAAGACCUUUGAGAUAAGUAUACCGGAUAAACCUAGGAGUAUGAAUGAUCCUAGGGGUGCUUAUGCUCUACUAUGAUAUGAUAUUUUAAUCAGGUUUGUGACCAUG